rnacentral:rRNA from 1 species
UACAGAGACUGCAAGCGUUAUUCGGAUUCACUGGGCGUAAAGGGUGCGCAGGCGGCCAAGUGUGUCAGGUGUGAAAUCCCGAGGCUUAACCUCAGAACUGCGCCUGAAACUACUUGGCUAGAGUACUGGAGAGGGUAACGGAAUUCACGGUGUAGCAGUGAAAUGCGUAGAUAUCGUGAGGAACACCAGAGGCGAAGGCGGUUACCUGGACAGUUACUGACGCUCAGGCACGAAAGCGUGGGGAGCAAAAGGG